rnacentral:rRNA from 1 species
UGCGUAGGCGGUUAUAUUAGUCGGGUGUUAAAACCUGGGGCUCAACCUCAGGAUCGCAUUCGAAACGGUAUAACUAGAAGAAGUGAGGGGUGUGUGGAACUCAUGGUGUAGGGGUGAAAUCCGUUGAUAUCAUGGGGAACACCAAAAGCGAAGGCAACACACUGGCACUUUCUUGACGCUGAGGCACGAAAGCGUGGGUAGCGAACG